rnacentral:lncRNA from 1 species
AGCCGUGGGGGAGGGGAAAGGGCGCGCGGCCUCGGAUGCGCAGACCCUGGGCCGGCGACUCGGGGACCCUGCUCCCUCUUAGCUAAAAAUGACGUCGGCGUUCAGCUCCUCCAACCUCACGUGGACAGGCGAGGGAACCGAGACCCAGAGAGGGCAGGGGACUUUGGCAAACUCACACAGCCCACCGCAGGCAACUGGAACUGAAACCCAGGACUCCGUCUCUUGCCAGUGAAAGUUAUGUUAGGAAGCAGUGAGGGGUCUAAAGCAGUAUGAAAGGCAAAGAGAAAAGGUGAUUGUUCCCUCUUGAAUGGCCCUUGGAAGCUGAGUAUCUGGAUUCACCCUCCCUAGGGAAUUUCCCGAUUGUCUUGCAGGCUUACACACUCAUCAAGAUGACAAAAAUAAUGACAGUAACACUUAUGUGGAACUUGACUUUUUCCCAGGUGCUGCUCUAAGCAUUUACUGUGUUUGUUUUACAGGAAGGAAGACUGUACACAGAGAAUAAAUAACUUGGCCAAGCCAUUCAGCUAGGAAGUUGUAGAUCCUAAAUUAAGAGUUCAAGGUCUUAAUGGCUACUCUAUGCGGCCUCUCAUAGUCUUUUCAAGGGUUUUGGAGAAGAAUAAAAGAUCAGUCAUCCACAGAUGUUUGAGUGGUUACAAUGUGCCAGCCUCCCUUCUAGGUACUGGAGAUAAAGUGGGACAAGAGAGUUGCUUGUGAUACAUCAGUAUCCUCACUCACCCCCAACUCCAGAGGCUGAAACUAACUCUCCUCCUCCCUCUUCCAACUGCUGAGGAAGAUGAGUCAAUGGUGUUACUGGACCCUGUGAACUGAUGCUGUGAAGAGAGGCCAUUUAACACGGACUACGGGGAAUGGUGCCACAGGGGGCUCAGUGCUGCCCUUCACUCUCAGCAUUUUGCUCACUCAGCAUUGAUGACAGGAUGUCCCAAAAGUAACAAAAGAUGGGAGCCAGUCCUCUCAUAGCUGUUUCUUCAAUCAUCCCAUCAACAGCUCUUCAUUUAUUGAACUACCUUCCUUUUCCAAAGAGGUAAUGCUGAGAUCAGUCAGAAAGGCUUUCUGAGAAAACUGGCUUGGAUUUCUGGGUCUGUUGCAGUCAAUUCAAGAUGAACUGGCUUGUAUCAAUGAAGCGCUCAAUGCAGUUCACAAAACAGGCCUCAGCCCGACUGUCCAACUUUGGCCCAGGCUUGUCCAUGCACUUCUCCCAACAAAGUUCAGUCAUCUGGUGCACCAGCUGCUGGAAGCGCUGCUUUUGAGUCUCUACCUCAAUGAAAAUGCUGCAACUGCGGGUCCACUGCACCCAAACCCGCCGCAGAGGAAGAGCAGGAGGAAUCCAUCCCAGGACAACCAUGCUUGCAGAGACGAACUCCGCACCAACCUUCACGUGUCUCCACGACCUAGUUAAUCAAUUUAAAAUGAGGUCACUAGGGUGGGCCCCAAUCCAAUAUGACUGAUAACUUUAUAAAAAGGAGAGAUUUGGAUACAGAAAGAGACAGAGUGAAAACCAUGUGAAGAAACAUAGGAAAAGAUGGCAGCUACAAGCCAAGGAGAAGCUUGCAGUGUGUAUUCAUCUGUUCUCAUGCUGUUAAUAAAGACAUACCUGAGACUGGGUAAUUUAUAAAGGAAA